rnacentral:tRNA from 1 species
GCUGCUGUAGCUCAGUUGGUAAGAGCGUCGGGCGCGCAAUCCGAAGGUCGCAGGUUCGGUCCCUGCCAGCCGCC